rnacentral:rRNA from 1 species
CCUACGGGCGGCAGCAGUGGGGAAUAUUGGACAAUGGGCGAAAGCCUGAUCCAGCCAUGCCGCGUGUGUGAAGAAGGCCUUCGGGUUGUAAAGCACUUUCAGUGGGGAAGAAAGCCUUGGGGCUAAUACCCUCGAGGAAGGACAUCACCCACAGAAGAAGCACCGGCUAACUCCGUGCCAGCAGCCGCGGUAAUACGGAGGGUGCGAGCGUUAAUCGGAAUUACUGGGCGUAAAGCGCGCGUAGGCGGUCUGAUAAGCCGGUUGUGAAAGCCCCGGGCUCAACCUGGGAACCGCAUCCGGAACUGUCAGGCUAGAGUGCAGGAGAGGAAGGUAGAAUUCCCGGUGUAGCGGUGAAAUGCGUAGAGAUCGGGAGGAAUACCAGUGGCGAAGGCGGCCUUCUGGACUGACACUGACGCUGAGGUGCGAAAGCGUGGGUAGCAAACAGGAUUAGAUACCCCGUGUAGUC